UAAACGACAGGGAGAGUUGUCCGAGCAGGAAAAUGGACGCAGAGGCAUCGCCCCGCUGUUGUCUGGAACAGGACGUCCUGACUGCGGGACAGUUUUGAAUCGUAGAACAUUCUGAAUUGGAAGGGACCCGUAAGGAUCACUAAGUUCAGCUCCUGGCCCUGCACAGGACAACUCCAAGAAUUCCACCAGGUGCCUGAGUGUUGCCCAAACUCCGACAGACUUGGUGCUGUGACCACUUCCCUAGGGAGCAUAUCCCAGUGCCUCACCAGCCUCUGGGGGAAGAAACUUUUGCUCGUAUCCAAACCUUUGGACAGGUAUACUGAGCUGGAGAGGAUUUCUGGCUUUUGACUAGUAGCAGAGCAUAAAACGAAUGGGAAAUGACUCUUCCUGCUGAUGGGCAAGAGGAAUGCUAAGCAGGUCUGUUUCAAGACUCUGAGGAGCAACUGUGAGAUUGUGGUACCAGGGUGGAAUCUCACAAAGUCACGCUUCCAUCAUGUGUGAAGGGGAGUGCCAGCGAACCCAAGCAUCUAGGAGCAGUCUGAUCUGCAGUCAAUUUCAUCUGUGUGACAGAGGAGAUGGAGUACUCCCCAGAAGUGGAGUGGGAGAAUCCACCAACAGAUAUGCGUUAUUUCAAGCUGAAGUUCAGAUCUCUACUGGAGAUGGAUGAAAAGCAAGUCAUGGUCGCCAAAAGCAAUGACCCUAAGAGCAGAUACGUCCUCAGUGGCCUGAAACCUGGAACAGAACAUGAGGUCAUAACUGUGAAAGACAACACAGAGGGGAACCAUUCUCAGUGGCUGGCAGGACUGGUGUGUGGAAAGUUGCUUUUACUGCAGUGAUGUUACUUCAGAGUUUGGGGACAGAUCUUUCAAAAUUCCAGCACAAAAGGUUCAUGAUUUGACUAUUUCUUCGUGCAUGACCUACAGCCAGGUCUGCUUAUACUUUGUUUGAGCUUGCCUACAUUAUGUAUUAAACACUAAAUCCUAGGCCUAGUUCAGUCCUUUGCUUUGGUUUUUUUAUAAUAACUUCACCCUCGACUACAGCUCCAUCCAGACACAGGAUAAGUGUAGUUACCUAGCCUAUGUAUGGAAUAACAACUCUGUUGGCUAAUUGAGUGUCUUAAAGAAAAAUAGCAGAAUGUUUUUGAGCUUUUCUAUUGCAGAAGUGACCUUGAAGACUCUCAUUCUACUUCCAAGCUUCUGGAAUUUCUGAAAUUCAUAUCUUACAGAAGGGUAGGCAUGCUGCUUCCAAAGACUGAAAAAUUCCAUAUCAGGCCUGACAUUCCUGAGGUUGUUGUGUAAAUUAUUCCAUUAAAAUGAAAUUUAUUUAAAACAACAAAACCCACAACCUCUGCAUUAUCAUUUUAAGGCUUUUCUUCUGCCCUGUGUAGACUCUGAUUAUUUGGAACACCUUUGACUUGUGUUUUCAAGCUGUUCUUCACAGAUAUGGGGGCUGCAAAACUUAUUAAAAAAGGAAAAUAAUAACCCUAAUACUCAUAUUCUUAUGUAACCCCCAGAAUUUUGCAAGUAAACAAAUACCAGCUACUUCAAGAGUUACCACCAAGCUCUGAUUCAUCAGCUAAAAUAGCAGAACCUUGGGGGAGUCUGAGAGACAGGUCUGCAGGGAACACAGAAAGGGAGGAGCAGCAGAUGGCUGACAGUGGAGGCAGAGAAUGGGUAGGCACUGUAUUUGGAGCUGGGAGAGGGCAAGCCAGAAGGUUGAUGCCAAAAUGAUUUUUGCUUUUGUAUAUUCUUCAUGUAUUUGUAGCUCUGUAGACUAUUGCUGUAUAGUUAUAUACUUCUUGGCUUACUCCAGCAUUUUUCCUACUCUGAUAGAAAGACAAAACACAUUCCAAAGGCCCUAAUCUUGCUUCCUCUGGGAACCAAGGAUGAACUACCCUCCCAAGACACUUUCCUAUAAGGAACUGGAAGAAGAGGGGUUCCAGAAGAGUUUUAACCAAGAGGGGGAACUACCUGUGUUUCUAAUUGGUGAUUCUUGUCAAUUAUGCUAAUUUACUAAAUUUAUAAAACUGUAUUUGCUGUAUGUGAGGUGGGCAUUUUUCCAUACUUGCACCUGGAGGCCUCCAAUUGAAGACCAGCUUUUAUAUUACCUCCUAUAUUAACA